GGUGUCCCCGAGCCCUCCCGCACCGGCCACGGCGGGGCCCCGCGGGCCGCCUCACAGACACCGGCCAUGCCGCCCGCGGCAGGUCGGCGGGCACCGGGGGGAAUCGCGAACGCGCGGAGGCCCGCGGAUAGAAGCGACCGAUCGGCACCGCGGCUGCGCCGCCGCCGGGCCGGACAUGCGCGGUGCGGCGGCGCCCCCGGAAGCGCUGAGCGAUGGCUUCCGGGUGGCGGCGGCGGGGCCGGGCCGGAGUGCGGGGCGGGUGGUACCGGCGCUCCGAGCUGCUUUUCCCCCCUGAAGAGCAGGGUAAGUUCUUGUUUCUCCUCCGGAGCACCCACAUUCCUCCUGCAGAGCACGGCGGGGAGUUUCUGAGCGCUGUCCGGGAGGCGGCGCGCCGCUGACUGCUGUCACCUGCGGGCAGGCUGUGCUUCUACUUAAAGAUCAGUUUUCCCAAAGCUCGGGUCGCCGCUGGCGGGAUUCUGGGAGGAAAACAUAUGUACAGAUGCCGGCUGGAGAACGGCGUCCUCCUGGAGGGGCUGGCGGCUCGUGGCUCAGACAGGAUUCUGUUCUAUGAACAUCCCUCAGUGAUGAGUGCCAGAGUUCAGACCCAAAGCUGGGCUUUACCUGCUGCCUUAAAAAGGGCAGUAGGGCUUGCCUGGAUGGACUUUCUUCGUGCAACUUCCGCAGGCGCAGAGCCAGGCAGGGGGAUGGAUUUUCUCCUGAGGCACCCAAGUUUCGCAUCCAGCUCAUCCCAGCAGGGUGUCUGUCACCUACCAAAUAAAGAAGAUGGAACAGCCUCUCCACAGCAAACCUGACGAGUACGCUUGGUCUCCGCUACAUCAGGAGCGUUUGGUCGGAGAUGGGCAGCCAGACGUCUCUUCCCAUGUGCAGAACAUGACUCACCCCCUGGAGAAAAGCCUUACUGCAGCGUACUGUAUUUCACAAGCAGCAAUAUAUUCAAUCAGAACAUAAGAAUUUACGCUGUGGAAAUGGGCUUCACGGUCAACAUGCCUGUGAGCCACCCCCUGGGUGCAACGGGUGAUGCUGAGAAGGCUCUUCCAGAAGAACGCAAAGACAAUGCCUUUGACUCCGUCCGCGGAGGUACCGGCAGCCCGAGGAUGAGAGCGAAGACCUGCUUGCCUGCCUGUUACCUAGUGACACUCGCCUCGUCUUCUACGAACAGUCAGACCCGAGCGCAAGUGGAUAUUCAUUCCUGAAACGUUGCGAGAAGUGGACAUUACUGAUGCUUGGAAGCACGACCGGGGCACCAGGGUAGCAUGUGAAAAUGAAAUCCUGUAUUACCUCAUUUUGCUGCCUUUCUCUUACAUAAAAGCAUUUAAAGCAGAAGAAAA